GACAGAGGUGCCGAGCGUUAGGCGGAAUCACUGGGCUUAAAGCGUGUGUAGGCGGAUCGUUAAGUGCCUUGUGAAAUCCCACGGCUCAACCGUGGAACUGCUUGGCAUACUGGCGAUCUUGAGCCACUUAGGGGCUACCGGAACAAAUGGUGGAGCGGUGAAAUGCGUAGAUAUCAUUUGGAACGCCAAUGGUGAAAACAGGUAGCUGGGAGUGUGCUGACGCUGAGACACGAAAGCCAGGGGGAGCAAACGGG
rnacentral:rRNA from 1 species